rnacentral:lncRNA from 1 species
AAAUAUAAAGCAGAGCAAAAUAUAAACAACUAGUAAGUAUGAGUAAAGGUUAUAUAGAAGUUCCUUGUACUAUGCUUGCAACUUUCAGUAAGUUUGAAGUUAUAUUUUGUAGCAAAACAAAUGUUUUAAAAGAUGAGGUAACUUCUAGAUGGGAAGAAAAAAAUAACUACAUUCUAGUUCACAACUGCUUUCAAAACCAGAAGAUGCUGGAAAGAAUGAAUAAUUCCUCAGGGACAUUAAAGGAAGGAACAACCACUCUCAAAAGAGAAAAUCUCCUCUUCUCCAGGAAGAAAGAUGGCAUCUGAUCUUUAAAGUCAUAGUCCAAAAUAAUUUUCUUUUUCUUCCUGUUCAUCUUUAUCUUUUGAAGAAUUAACUAAGUCCCACAGUUAAAAGCAAUGAUUUAUAAUCAGAAAUUAUUAUGGGAAACAAAAAAAGAAAACAUUCCAUUUUCACCUUUUCUUCUUGGCGCACACCGAAUCAGAGAAAAUAGAGUCUAUUCUCUUCCCACAGAUACAAUUGUACGUUUGAAUGCAAUCAAUAGUUGCCAUUCUUGUUGAGGUCAAAAAUGCACAUUCUCCUCUCCCAGAAGAAAAACGCAUUAUUGUAGAAUUA